rnacentral:rRNA from 1 species
AGUCGAGCGGGGAAUAUUGAGCAGCUUGCUGCUUGGUAUUCUAGCGGCGGACGGGUGAGUAACGCGUGAGCAACCUGCCUUUAUCAGGGGGAUAACGCAUCGAAAGAUGUGCUAAUACCGCGUAAGACCACAGCUUCACAUGGAGCAGGGGUCAAAGGAGCAAUCCGGAUAAAGAUGGGCUCGCGUCCGAUUAGCUAGUUGGUGAGAUAACAGCCCACCAAGGCGACGAUCGGUAGCCGACCUGAGAGGGUGAUCGGCCACAUUGGAACUGAGAAACGGUCCAGACUCCUACGGGAGGCAGCAGUGGGGAAUAUUGGGCAAUGGGCGAAAGCCUGACCCAGCAACGCCGCGUGAGGGAAGAAGGGUUUCGGCUCGUAAACCUCUGUCCUAUGGGACGAAGGAAGUGACGGUACCAUAGGAGGAAGCCCCGGCUAACUACGUGCCAGCAGCCGCGGUAAUACGUAGGGGGCGAGCGUUGUCCGGAAUGAUUGGGCGUAAAGGGCGCGUAGGCGGCCUGCUAAGUCUGGAGUGAAAGUCCUGCUUUCAAGGUGGGAAUUGCUUUGGAUACUGGUGGGCUGGAGUGCAGGAGAGGAAAGCGGAAUUACCGGUGUAGCGGUGAAAUGCGUAGAGAUCGGUAGGAACACCAGUGGCGAAGGCGGCUUUCUGGACUG